GGCGUUCCUCGGAUUUGCUCUGGCAAUCGCGUGCGCUAUAGCGUCCUGUUCGCGCUCUGUUCCGCGAUUUGCCUCGUUGGAUCUCCAGGUAGCGCGAUUAGCAGUAUUUUGCGACUGCUAUCGUCGGCGUUCCUCGGAGUUUGCU